rnacentral:rRNA from 1 species
CGGGGGAGCAAGCGUUGUUCGGAUUUACUGGGCGUAAAGGGCGCGUAGGCGGCCACCGCAAGUCGACUGUGAAAUCUCCGGGCUUAACUCGGAAAGGUCAGCCGAUACUGCGGGGCUAGAGUGCAGAAGGGGCAACUGGAAUUCUCGGUGUAGCGGUGAAAUGCGUAGAUAUCGAGAGGAACACCUGCGGCGAAGGCGGGUUGCUGGGCUGACACUGACGCUGAGGCGCGAAAGCUAGGGGAGCGAACGGGAUUAGAUACCCCGGUAGUCCUAGCCUUAAACGAUGAAUGCUUGGUGUCUGGGGGUUUUAUAGUCCCCGGGUGCCGUCGCUAACGCUUUAAGCAUUCCGCCUGGGGAGUACGGUCGCAAGACUG